UACGGGGGGGGCAAGCGUUGUUCGGAAUUACUGGGCGUAAAGGGCGCGUAGGCGGUUCGCUAAGUCGGAUGUGAAAACUCUGGGCUCAACCCAGAGCCUGCAUCCGAAACUGGCGGGCUAGAGUUCUGGAGGGGGUAGCGGAAUUCCUGGUGUAGCGGUGAAAUGCGUAGAUAUCAGGAGGAACACCGGUGGCGAAGGCGGCUACCUGGACAGAAACUGACGCUGAGGCGCGAAAGCCAGGGGAGCAAACGGG
rnacentral:rRNA from 1 species